CAUUUGAUUAUGGUUGUUGUAUAACUCAGUGCAGACACAAUAUCAUGUGGCUGAGAGUCCUCUCCUAAUCAAGACGCCCCCUGCUUAGUAGCAAUGACGGAUACGUUAUUGCGGCAGUGCUUCCCAUUCGUGAGUUUGGGAACAACGAGAGAUAAAACUCUCGCCGGCCGGGAGGAUGUACUGGAAUUAUCGCUAUCAAAACUACUGUCUCGUCGCCGUCGCAAUAGAAGGCAAGCGUUAAAAGCGUAGCCCGAAUCUUGAUAAGGUUUAAAUUUGGUACCCUAUGCAAACUCAAGAAAUACCACUAAGGCGGUUUGUCGUGAAGUUGCAGUAAUGUAACUAUAAGACGAGGUCAAGGUACAAGUAGCCCAAGACAAUGACUAAGAAGAAAAGAUGCAAAAAUCUUUACUAAUGUGAAUGAUGGGUGAACGCUGCGGAUAACCACUUCCGCAUAGGUAAGUGUACAGCAUAAGCUGUUACGGCAUAAAGUCUAGGGUCGCUCCCGAAAGCUCACUUAUGUCGUCCUAUUGAGUGAAUAUGAUAGAAGGUAAUGACCAGCAACCCGAAGGGGUAUAUGGCGAUCAUAAUCAAG
rnacentral:ncRNA from 1 species